GAUCAUGGCUCAGGAUGAACGCUAGCUACAGGCUUAACACAUGCAAGUCGAGGGGCAGCAUGAUUGAAGCUUGCUUCAAUCGAUGGCGACCGGCGCACGGGUGAGUAACACGUAUCCAACCUGCCGAUAACUCGGGGGUAGCCUUUCGAAAGAAAGAUUAAUACCCGAUAGUAUAGUAUUUCCGCAUGGUUUCACUAUUAAAGAAUUUCGGUUAUCGAUGGGGAUGCGUUCCAUUAGAUAG
rnacentral:rRNA from 1 species